UGGUCCCUACGUUUACAGCACAUGUGUUGACUCUUCAACGAACCAGACAAAAUUGAAUCUCUUCGAAGUAGUAGACAGGGACGAAGAUGGGAAUCUCAUCCAAGGCAGGCUGAUGGC
rnacentral:ribozyme from 1 species